UAGGGAAUCUUCGGCAAUGGGGGGAACCCUGACCGAGCAACGCCGCGUGAGUGAAGAAGGUUUUCGGAUCGUAAAGCUCUGUUGUUAAGGAAGAACGAGUGUGAGAAUGGAAAGUUCAUACUGUGACGGUACUUAACCAGAAAGGGACGGCUAACUACGUGCCAGCAGCCGCGGUAAUACGUAGGUCCCGAGCGUUGUCCGGAUUUAUUGGGCGUAAAGCGAGCGCAGGCGGUUAGAUAAGUCUGAAGUUAAAGGCAGUGGCUCAACCAUUGUAGGCUUUGGAAACUGUUUAACUUGAGUGGAGAAGGGGAGAGUGGAAUUCCAUGUGUAGCGGUGAAAUGCGUAGAUAUAUGGAGGAACACCGGUGGCGAAAGCGGCUCUCUGGUCUGUAACUGACGCAGAGGCUCGAAAGCGUGGGGAGCGAACAGG
rnacentral:rRNA from 1 species